rnacentral:lncRNA from 10 species
CCAAAUACGAUCACAUUAACAGGCCCUCGAUGGACUGGAUGAUGCCCACUCACAUUGAGGAGGACUGUCCGCUUUGCUCAGCCCACCAAUUCAGAUGCUCAUCUCUUCUAGAAACACUCUCACAGACACACCCAGACAUAAUGUUCAACCAGCUAUCUGGGCAUCCCAUGGCCCAGUCAAGUUGACACAUAAAAUUAACCCAUUGCAAUCACCAUGGAAGGAGUUGCUGCAUUGGUGAGCUGUUGUGUCAGAGGACAAGUUCUUAUUCUCAGCCAUAAGCCCCCAGUAAAUUCACACCCAUCCAGGAACUAGUGACUAGUCAGGAGACAGUCAGGAGACACCACGUGAAGGAAGCGUUUGUUUGCCACUGACAAAGGUUGCUUCCCUGAAGUCUCCUAGGUAAUGAUUGAGUAUAGGUCCCAACUUAGGGAUGGGGAAAACCUUCUUAUAUGGCCUGGUCUCAGUAUAGCAACUAAAGGCUGCUUUCAGUGAGGGUGGUGGCAGGGAUUGGCUCAAAAAUACUAUUCAAGGCAAUUCCCAGCCCAGAUGCACUAGAAAUUGCUUGAAUGAAUUCCAGUUCCAUUUAUAUCAUCCCAAAGCACUCUCAGAUGCUAUGUCUAUCACCAGAGGGGGUGUUAACUGUCAGGCAGCCAGAAUAAAGGAGUGGACACAACUGAUGGGGAAAUAGCAUCUGCACAUCAGAAAGGGCUGGAUGGAUCAAAACAAGGAUCGCAGGAGAGGAACUGCAAGGCACUGAGCGGCCACUCUAAGUCCCAGGGACCUCGAAGUCUUUAUCCUGCUGAAUGCUCACAAACCACCUCUGAGGCAGGACCGGUCUCCUCACUUCACACGUGAGAGAGUCAACAUUCAGAAAAGUCAGUGCUGAAGCCUGAAGUCACAGGUUGGGUGGACAAUGGAGCCAGGCUUUUCCCAGAUCUCGCUGAAUAAACUGCUCACGGGCUUUCUAUUCUACUGUAUGUUGCUGAGAUGACCGUCCCAGAAUGGCCCCACCCUUGCUAAACUGGGAGCUGCCUGGAACUAAGCUUCUGGUCCACGGGCUAGCUGGGCAUUAUUGGGCUCAACUGGACUUGGCUUCAGGCUGCGGACUGUCUUCAGCUGUGCUCCUCCUGGCUCCAGGUUUGGAGGUCAGCGGUUACUCAGAGCAUGUUCUCCUCAUGAUAGAUGGAGAAGCGCAAGAGAAGUGAGCAGAAACCUGCAUCCCUCUUAAGGGCUUGGCCCUGAACCAGCACUGUCCCUCCUGUCACCAUCUCCUUGGCCAGCACAAGUGGUAUGGCCAGUUCCAACAUCAGUGGGCCAGGAGGGUGGGCUACUUCCUCCACAGUGACCAUGGCAAGGAAGGAGAGGAAGGCCUGUGGGCGAACAACACCAUGCCCUGCCACAGGGCAGCACGUGCAAUGACACAGAGGUAUAAAGAAGCUCGGCUGGUGUCAGAGGCAUGUUUGGCAGCAGGGAGAUAGGGAGCAAGGCUGGCAGAUGGUGAGUUUGGAGAAAGAAGUUAGGACUGGCUAGUGGAGGGCUGGGCUUCCUUGCCAAGGAGCGUGGCUCUCAUCCUGUAGGCAGUGGAAUGACAUUCAGGAUAAGGACUCGCUCGGCCUGCAGCUCCCUCCUCCCACCCUGCUGCUGUUCCUGCUCUGGGGCACACAGGAGCAUGCAGUGGCUGAAUGGAAACUGACGCCGGCUGCCAGGGACGGAGAAGAGUUUGGGGACAGGUCUGGGCUCAUUGCCCAUGCCAUCCUGGGUACGCAUGUGUCAACACAUACAAUUAGCUUUGAGUGCCCGGGCCUGCAAAGUACAAUUGAAUGCCUGAAAGCAUUUGGCUGACCUCAAGGAAAAAGUCUUUAAGCGUAGGAGUUCUGUCACAAAAAUAAAUGGUCAUUUAGAAAGGAAUAGAGGAAAGAAGCUGAAACACUUAGGUGUGAAUCAGUCGCCACUAAUUGCUAGUAUAUUGCAUAACCCAAGGCUCAGUUUCCACAGCUAAAAAAUGCUUCCAUUAAACUCCCAUACUUCACAGAGUUUAUAAAAAGUAUAUGAAGUAAUAUAUGUAAAAAUCUUUAAAUCAUUAUAUAAAUACAAGCUACUUAUAUUUAUGUUUAAGGUAGCCGAAGUGAAGGGAAUAGCUAUCCAUCCAAUGAACCAAGCACUAUAUCUUCAGUGGACUCUGGAGCCAGCAGGGAUGUGGGUGGAGUGUACUGCCCCUAAAUGCCUGUUGGAGAUCAAGGGGGGAACUGCAAUGCCAGGCUCCUUCACAGACAACAUGCCAAGGCAAAGGGCACCAAAAGAAAGCACCAUAGCCAUGGUGCCCAAGAGAUGAUAUGGUGAUGAAACCGACAAAUGCACCUUCUGCCACUGGGAUGUCAUUUCAAUAGACAGAAAGUGUUGCUAUGAACUCACCCAUGAAUGCCUCUUUUAGAACCAGAUGAAACUCAGUAUUUACUCUUCAUGCACUUAAAAAAAUGAGCGACCUUCAACACUCAUUGGGAGGACCUUCAACUCCUUCAUCAGUAAAUCCAGAAAAAGGAAAAUGGAGACAGGGAGAAAGAAAGGAGUGACGGGAGAUACACUAGUGCUGAAGAAAUGCAAAAAGCAGAAGCAGGUGCUUAUUCCAACUAAAAAUAAUCCACGGAAACAAGACACCUUGAAGUGAGAUUUGUUUGUAUAUUUCAUAUCUGACAACAGGCAGAGUCCCCGGAGCAGGUGCAAUGAACGCGGAUAGGAAACAGUUUGAUUCUGAAUCUACUAGUGGGAGGGGUCCCAAAGCAGCUUCAUUCUGAGGCCAGACUUAGGCUGGAAGCCAACUUUGUUAAAAACAAAUAAAAGUCAGCUGGAUUUUAUGGACAUUUUACGCACAUUUCAAACUUCAGAGGAGAAAAGAUGACCACAGUGGUUUUCUGGAAUAUGUCAAGGGAACACAGUCUUGUUUUCCCCACAGGGGAAAGUUUCUUGGGUAAGGUAUUGAAAGUACAGGUGCUCCCUGAAUUACAAGGGAGAUAAUUCUGAUAAGUCAAUCAUCAAUUGAAAAUAUUAUCAUUUGAACAUGCAUGUAAUACACCUAACCUACCAAACAUCACAGCUUAGUGUAGCCUACCUUAAUCGUGCUCAGAUACAUUAGCUUAUUCCUUUAGAAAGGAAUAGACGAAAGAAGCUGUUAGCCUAUAGUUGGGCAAAAUCAUCUAACGAAAAUCUCCCUUUAUAAUAAAGUGUUGAAAAUUUCAUGCAAUUUAUUGAAUACUGUACUAAAAGUGAAAAACAAAAUAGUUGUAUGGCUACGUUAAUUGAGUCAAAAUACUGUCAGUCAAACGCUUGUAAGUCAGGGACCACCUGUAUGCGCAUCCUAGAAAGUACUUCUUAUAAAGUGCUCCAGGAUCAGGGUUGUAUGAAAAGGAGGGAGAUGAGUGUGUGCCACAGAAUCAAGAUAACGGAGUGAAGCAAGAAUUUAAAGACAGCAGAAAAUAGCAGAUAACUUAGCCAGGCUGGCAUGGCAAGAAGGGAGUUGAUGAGGUUGGUCUCCAUGACCAUUGGUUUCUUCCCUUUCAUUUCCUUUCCCCCUUCCCCUUCACCUUCUUGUUCUAUUGCUCUCCUUCUCAGUAUUUUGUUUUUUUCUUAUAUCAAAUAUGUUCUAAUUGUAUAAGGAAAUUGUUUAUAGUGCUACUAUCCUGAUAUAAAAUACCUUAUGGCAAUAUCACUAAAAUAUAAUAAACAAGUAAUUAUGUUUUACUUUUCAUACCUACACUAUAAACCUGGGAAAU